rnacentral:rRNA from 1 species
CGUUCCCGGGCCUUGUACACACCGCCCGUCACACCAUGGGAGUUGGUUUACCCGAAGACGGUGCGCCAACCGUAAGGAGGCAGCCGGCCACGGUAAGGUCAGCGACUGGGGUG